rnacentral:rRNA from 1 species
UUGAACGCUGGCGGCAUGCCUUACACAUGCAAGUCGAACGGUAACAGGUCUUCGGAUGCUGACGAGUGGCGAACGGGUGAGUAAUACAUCGGAACGUGCCCGAGAGUGGGGGAUAAUGGAGCGAAAGCUUUGCUAAUACCGCAUACGAUCUACGGAUGAAAGCAGGGGACCGCAAGGCCUUGCGCUCAUGGAGCGGCCGAUGGCCGAUUAGGUAGUUGGUGGGAUAAAAGCUUACCAAGCCGACGAUCUGCAGCUGGUCUGAGAGGACGACCAGCCACACUGGAACUGAGACACGGUCCAGACUCCUACGGGAGGCAGCAGUGGGGAAUUUUGGACAAUGGGGGCAACCCUGAUCCAGCCAUUCCGCGUGAGUGAAGAAGGCCUUCGGGUUGUAAAGCUCUUUCAGCAGGAACGAAACGGUGGCUACUAAUACUAGCUACUAAUGACGGUACCUGAAGAAGAAGCACCGGCUAACUACGU